rnacentral:rRNA from 1 species
AUUGAACGCUGGCGGCAUGCCUUACACAUGCAAGUCGAACGGUAACAGGUCUUCGGAUGCUGACGAGUGGCGAACGGGUGAGUAAUACAUCGGAACGUGCCCGAUCGUGGGGGAUAACGGAGCGAAAGCUUUGCUAAUUCCGCAUACGAUCUACGGAUUAAAGCAGGGGACCGCCAGGCCUUGCGGCAACGGAGCGGCCGAUGGCAGGUUAGGUAGUUGGUGGGAUAAAAGCUUACCAAGCCGACGAUCUGUAGCUGGUCUGAGAGGACGACCAGCCACACUGCGACUGAGACACGGCCCAGACUCCUACGGGAGGCAGCAGUGGGGAAUUUUGGACAAUGGGCGCAAGCCUGAUCCAGCAAUGCCGCGUGCAGGAUGAAGGCCUUCGGGUUGUAAACUGCUUUUGUACGGAACGAAAAGGCUCUGGUUAAUACCUGGGGCUCAUGACGGUACCGUAAGAAUAAGCACCGGCUAACUACGUGCCAGCCGCCGCCGUAAUAC